rnacentral:misc_RNA from 1 species
GAUGAAGAACGUAGCGAAAUGCGAUACGUAAUGUGAAUUGCAAAUUCAGUGAAUCAUCGAGUCUUUGAACGCACAUUGCGCCCCCUGGUAUUCCGGGGGGCAUGCCUGUCCGAGCGUCAUUGCUGCCCUCAAGCACGGCUUGUGUGUUGGGCCCCGUCCUCCGAUCCCGGGGGACGGGCCCGAAAGGCAGCGGCGGCACCGCGUCCGGUCCUCGAGCGUAUGGGGCUCUGUCACCCGCUCUGUAGGCCCGGCCGGCGCUUGCCGAUCAACCCAAAUUUUUAUCCAGGUUGACCUCGGAUCAGGUAGGGAUACCCGCUGAACUUAAGCAUAUCAAUAAGCGGAGGA